UAUUAAAAUUUUCAUCUAUUUUUACUGUUAAAAACUUGUGUGGCCGAUAAAAUACAUAUAACUAUCAUGUGUACCUCAUUCUAAUGUACAAAGAUUAGUUUUUUAAUAGUUAAAAUGAAUGAAAUUUUUAACU
rfam:Gossypium raimondii Chr06_contig_131, whole genome shotgun sequence.